rnacentral:snRNA from 1 species
AUAAUUUCCUGGCCUUUUGGCUAAGAUCAAAUGUAGUAUCUGUUCUUAUCAGUUUAAAGUAGUUAAGCUGACUUUGCUGAAGUACUCAUGCAAAGUGAACAUGCUGAAAAUAAAUGUCUUUCCAAGGCUCUAGAAAUUGAAAUUCU